rnacentral:rRNA from 1 species
GAUGAACGCUAGCGGCAGGCUUAAUACAUGCAAGUCGAGGGGUAGCAAGAUUGUAGCAAUACAAUUGUUGACGACCGGCAAACGGGUGCGGAACACGUACACAACCUUCCUACAAGUGGGGAAUAGCCCAGAGAAAUUUGGAUUAAUACCCCGUAACAUAGCGAUGUGGCAUCACAUUGCUAUUAUAGCUUCGGCGCUUGUUGAUGGGUGUGCGGCUGAUUAGAUAGUUGGCGGGGUAACGGCCCACCAAGUCUACGAUCAGUAGCUGAUGUGAGAGCAGGAUCAGGCACACGGGGACUGAGACACGGGCCCGACUCCUACGGGAGGCAGCAGUAAGGAAUAUUGGACAAUGGACGCAAGUCUGAUCCAGCCAAGCCGCGUGAAGGAUUAAGGUCCUCUGGAUUGUAAACUUCUUUUAUAAGGGACGAAAAAAGGUCUUUCUAGAUCGUCUGACGGUACCUUAUGAAUAAGCACCGGCUAACUCCGUGCCAGCAGCCGCAGUAAAAC